CGCGGCCUAUCAGCUUGUUGGUGGGGUAAUGGCCUACCAAGGCGACGACGGGUAGCCGGCCUGAGAGGGUGUACGGCCACAUUGGGACUGAGACACGGCCCAAACUCCUACGGGAGGCAGCAGUGGGGAAUCUUGCACAAUGGGCGAAAGCCUGAUGCAGCGACGCCGCGUGGGGGAUGACGGCCUUCGGGUUGUAAACCCCUUUCGCUAGGGAAGAAGCCACUUUGUGGUGACGGUACCUGGAUAAGAAGCACCGGCUAACUACGUGCCAGCAGCCGCGGUAAUACGUAGGGUGCAAGCGUUGUCCGGAAUUACUGGGCGUAAAGAGCUCGUAGGUGGUUUGUCGCGUCGUCUGUGAAAUCCCGGGGCUUAACUCCGGGUCUGCAGGCGAUACGGGCAUAACUAGAGUGCUGUAGGGGAGACUGGAAUUCCUGGUGUAGCGGUGAAAUGCGCAGAUAUCAGGAGGAACACCGAUGGCGAAGGCAGGUCUCUGGGCAGUAACUGACGCUGAGGAGCGAAAGCAUGGGGAGCAAACAGGAUUAGAUACCCUGGUAGUCCAUGCCGUAAACGGUGGGCGCUAGGUGUGGGGAUCUUUCUACGAUUUCCGUGCCGUAGCUAACGCAUUAAGCGCCCCGCCUGGGGAGUACGG
rnacentral:rRNA from 2 species